rnacentral:tRNA from 1 species
GGUGGCGUUGCCGAGUAGUCUAAGGCGCUGGUUUGAGACACCAGUUUCUUCAGGGUCGUGGGUUCGAAUCCCACCGCUGCCG